ACACCCAUAGCUCAGCUGGCAGAGCACCUGACUCUUAAUCAGGGUGUCCGGGGUUCGAACCCCCGUGGGUGUA
rnacentral:tRNA from 1 species